AAAGGUUGGAAACCACUGCAGUAAUACAUGAAGGUGUGGUUGACUGUGAGGGACUGUGAUGUCAGAUGUAUCCUAUUUCCUGUUCUUUAUAAGUAGAGAGACAUACAGACAGAGACAGACAGCAGUACACAGCCAGCUGUGGUGAUAUGAUGUCACUGCUGAGGAGUUUGCUGUUGAUCUACUUCUCAUUCAAUGAAUUGACCACAGCAGCAGAAGACAUUCUCUGGGUGAAGACAGGGGAGAAGUUUACCAUGAAGUGCUCCACCACUCUAAAAGACCAGGAAGGAAUGUACCUGUAUGUUGGGCUGGACAGAGACAGGGAGGUGCUGUAUUACUACCAGCAUGACUCCAAGCUGACCCCCAGGAAACGCUACUGGGACAGAGUGAAGACUGAGGGACCUGUGGACCAACUGACCAUCACCGUCAGUAACCUGACCAUAGAGGACACAGGCGUCUACUGGUGUGUUUACACAAAAUUCAAUAAAGCCACAUAUGAAAAUGACAUCAACCAAGGAAGAGGCUCCACUCUGGUCGUGGUGAAUGGUAGAUACGAUGCCCUCCAGCUGCCAUGCCCCACAGCUACUGCAGUAACACUGACCCCCUUUCACUCAGCCAACAAGAAGCCGUGCCCAUCCGGCGUGGAAAGCAUCAUCAUCAUCAUCAUCAUCACCAGCAUCUUGACCACCCUGAUAUGUGCCGUCAUCUUCCUCGUCUGGUUCGCUCCACUGGUGAAGAGGUGCUGUAACCAGGGAGGAUACACACCACAGGUCUUUCCUGACUCGGUCUAUGAAGACAUGGCCCGGAAUCACAUUUAUCCAUCAGGCACACAGCAGGUAGAAUCGUACCUCUAUUCUGUGUCUACCAAAGGAGGAAGUAGAACCACUGUGUAGCUUCUUCAAAUGCUUUCUCUGAAUAUUGCUUCUUUACUUCAUCAGAAUUGACAAACCUGUUCUGCUGUGUUUCACAGUUCUAGCCUCAAUGCAAGUCUUAUUGGUAAAUUGUAUGUGUGUAUGUGUGUGCGUCAUACCAUGCUUAUGUGUGUGAAUAAAAUCUCUAUAUGGAUUGUAUUCAUAUUUCAACAAAAGAGGGAACAUCCAGUGUUAUAUUCCAGUUCUAUUCAACUAUAUUCUUACGGGGCUGGACAUUUUCCACAUGUGUCCCACACACACCAGUAAAGCACUUUUCUUCUAAUGAAAUGUUGCUAAAAGUAGUUGGGGAAGAAGUGGAAAGUGCUCGAUCAACGUGAGUUGAGGUGCAACCAAACAAUGUGGUCCUCAUUGAAAAGAAACCGGCUCAAUGCUUGCUCAUCAUUUGAACUAUUGAAAGAUUCUUUAAAGUAAUUCGGUCAUUUGAAAAUCUGACAACUAAGCAUCUCAAUAAAUAACAGACAGCAACCAUAGUGCUUUUCAUUUUGGCACUGAACGCCGGAAUUUGGUGCCGAUCUUUUGUGUAUGUUCAGAAUUGAUCAGGGGGCCAGUCUAAAUUACUGAACGGUUCGGAUCUGGCCCGCUGCCGCCAGUUGAAUAUCCUUGUUUUAGUCCAUAAGGUGCACAGUUGAUAGCGAUGGAGGCCUCCCUAUAACUUUUUUCAAAAGAUCAGGUAAUAAGAUUUAUAUUGCUGUUUUCUUUAGUGUUUUUAGGUCACUGGACCCCUCAUCAAGCUGUUCCUGUGCAUGUUGUCUGCACACAAAGUCAAAAGAGCUUCGAUGUUAAAAUGAGAACAGUUUGUUAAGAUUUGUAUUAUAUUCUAUCAUAGGUACAAAUAUUUUAGCUGCCUAAACUUUCAGGUACAUUAGGAUAUAAGCCAUUUUUAUAAUUACAUUUGAUUAAUCUAUGGUUUUAGUUGAGAUAGCUAGUAGGUUAAACCAUAAUGGUCUGAGUACAUUGUUUUCAUGCUGGUACGGAGUAUUGAGUGCGUCUUGUGGUUGGAAAAACUAUUUUUAACCAAGUGACGUAGUAUUUGUUUUACACUAUGAGUCACUGUUUUUUUACUUAUUUUUCAACUUCCUAACAGCUAUUUUCACUUUAAAUAAAUGUAAAUGUGUUUUGUAUUUUUUUUAAAGGGAGAAAAAUAUUCUCACCAUUUUCCAUUUUAAUCUAAAUAUUGAUACAUCAUUGAUAGUCAUGUGAUAUUCCCCUUGUGUAUGUCAUGUUUGUGUAUGUCAUGUUUAUGUUGUAUUUGUGUAUGUGUAUCUGGCAUGCAUUGGUGAUGUUCAGCUAUAUUGCUGACAGUAUAUUGUAUGUUUGGAAAGCUUUCUAGUUAAAUCAAUCGAAGAAAAAUUCAGGCAGGAAACUGGAGUGUUUGUAUCUGCUGAUAUUGAACCAAUUAGAUUCACUCUACUGUAAUAUGGCGGUCUAUUUAGUUAACCAGGUUAUUACAUCAUUUCAUGAUGUCUGCUGCACGCAAGCUAUGCACUGGUGUUCUUGGUGACAUGCUAUGCUGUAACAUGCGGUACUCACCCUGCAUGCCUGCUUUCUGACCACCCACCCCAGACUCCACCUGUUUGGGCACUGCUUUUG
ensembl:lncRNA